ACCGUCUUUCACUUAGGUCGACUCAACUCUUUUUGGGUCGACUCAAAGUUCAGGUGGGUCGACUCAAUUUUCAUUGGGGUCGACCCUCGCAGGGAUUCCAGAGAACCAGUUUUUGAAUGACACAGCCUUUGGGUCGACUCAUGUUCAGUUUGGGUCGACUCAGGGUGGGGUCGACUCAAGUUCCAUUGGGGUCGACCCUCUCAGGAAUUCCAGAGACUUGUUUUCAUGAGGCUUGAAGAUGGGGUCGACUCAACUUCCACUUGGGUCGACCCAAGUACUGUUCAUCCGUGCUAUUUUUGCAGAAGUGUGCCCGAUGGUUUCUUGAUGUGCCGGGGUCGACUCCACCAAUCUUGGGGUCGACUCAUUCCACAUUUUGCUGCAACUUAAGGUUAGAUUCAUCCAUAUAAUCAAUGAAAUAUACUUCAAGCAAUUUUGAAUAUAUGUCAUGGUGGUGCUACAUACUCUAAUAAAUGAAAAUUACUACCGUCCACUUAAGAGUACGUUUCACUUGAAACUUGGCCGUAUUGGAAUUUAGAAUUCACU
rnacentral:lncRNA from 1 species